rnacentral:rRNA from 1 species
AGAGUUUGAUCCUGGCUCAGGACGAACGCUGGCGGCGCGCCUAACACAUGCAAGUCGAACGGAGCUGAGAGGAGCUUGCUUUUCUCAGCUUAGUGGCGAACGGGUGAGUAACGCGUGAGUAACCUGCCCUGGAGUGGGGGACAACAGUUGGAAACGACUGCUAAUACCGCAUAAGCCCACGGCCCGGCAUCGGGCUGAGGGAAAAGGAUUUAUUCGCUUCAGGAUGGACUCGCGUCCAAUUAGCUAGUUGGUGAGAUAACGGCCCACCAAGGCGACGAUUGGUAGCCCGACUGAGAGGUUGAACGGCCACAUUGGGACUGAGACACGGCCCAAACUCCUACGGGAGGCAGCAGUGGGGAAUAUUGGGCAAUGGAGGAAACUCUGACCCAGCAACGCCGCGUGGAGGAAGAAGGUUUUCGGAUCGUAAACUCCUGUCCUUGGAGACGAGUAGAAGACGGUAUCCAAGGAGGAAGCCCCGGCUAACUACGUGCCAGCAGCCGCGGUAAUACGUAGGGGGCAAGCGUUGUCCGGAAUAAUUGGGCGUAAAGGGCGCGUAGGCGGCUCGGUAAGUCUGGAGUGAAAGUCCUGCUUUUAAGGUGGGAAUUGCUUUGGAUACUGUCGGGCUUGAGUGCAGGAGAGGUUAGUGGAAUUCCCAGUGUAGCGGUGAAAUGCGUAGAGAUUGGGAGGAACACCAGUGGCGAAAGCGACCUAACUGAACUGUAACUGAACCCUGAGGCGCGAAAGUGUGGGGAGCAAACAGGAUUAGAUACCCUGGUAGUCCACACUGUAAACGAUGAAUGCUAGGUGUAGGGGGUAUCGACCCCUUCUGUGCCGCAGUUAACACAAUAAGCAUUCCGCCUGGGGAGUACGGCCGCAAGGUUGAAACUCAAAGGAAUUGACGGGGGCCCGCACAAGCAGCGGAGCAUGUGGUUUAAUUCGACGCAACGCGAAGAACCUUACCAGGUCUUGACAUCCACUUAAACUUACAGAGAUGUAAGGUGUGCUUGCACAAAGUGAGACAGGUGGUGCAUGGUUGUCGUCAGCUCGUGUCGUGAGAUGUUGGGUUAAGUCCCGCAACGAGCGCAACCCUUAUCUUCAGUUACUAACGCGUAGAGGUGAGGACUCUGAAGAGACUGCCGGGGACAACUCGGAGGAAGGUGGGGACGACGUCAAAUCAUCAUGCCCCUUAUGACCUGGGCUACACACGUGCUACAAUGGCCACGACAGAGAGAAGCGAAAUCGCAAGGUAGAGCGGAACUCAAAAAAGUGGUCCCAGUUCGGAUUGUGGGCUGCAACCCGCCCACAUGAAGUCGGAGUUGCUAGUAAUCGCGGAUCAGCAUGCCGCGGUGAAUACGUUCCCGGGCCUUGCACACACCGCCCGUCA